rnacentral:rRNA from 1 species
CAGCAGCCGCGGUAAUACGGAGGGAGCUAGCGUUGUUCGGAAUUACUGGGCGUAAAGCGCGCGUAGGCGGUUACUCAAGUCAGAGGUGAAAGCCCGGGGCUCAACCCCGGAACUGCCUUUGAAACUAGGUGACUAGAAUCUUGGAGAGGUCAGUGGAAUUCCGAGUGUAGAGGUGAAAUUCGUAGAUAUUCGGAAGAACACCAGUGGCGAAGGCGACUGACUGGACAAGUAUUGACGCUGAGGUGCGAAAGCGUGGGGAGCAAACAGGAUUAGAUACCCGCGUAGUCCCUGUCUCUUAUAA